rnacentral:lncRNA from 1 species
UUUUUUUUUUCCUUUCACAAAUAAAAAGUUUCGAAUCUAAUUUAGAUAUUAAAAGAAUUAUCAUAUAUAUAUAUGGUACAAAAAAAUUCUGUCAAUUUUUUUUAGUUGAGUCUCUCAAUCUGUUAUUAUACCUUGAGAAAUAGAAAGAAUUAUAAUUUUCAUCCCGCCUAAAAUUCUAAAAAUUCUUGAUAGUUAAAAUAGAUUAUGAGUCCGUUUUAAAUUUAAAAUAUUACGGAUAAAAAAAAUUCAACUUGAUCGCCUUUCAAGUUUCAACUCUUUAGUUCUUUCUCCCCUUUUUCUUAAUCUAAAAAAAAGGUCUCACAUUAUUUUAAUGAACAUCUAUUAUUUUAACAUCUAUAUAAAGUCUCUUAAAACCCUUGAUGCAAUUAUAUAUACACGACAGUAAAGAAAGUUGUUGAGAGAAAGAAAAACAAUUUGCUUGCUGCUGCAUGCAUGCACGCUCAAGCUCACACAUAAAUAUAACUCGUGGCUGCAAAUUAGUGGGCGCUAACAUUAAUUACUCAUAGACUAAAGCUAUGCAUGAAUCUAUGAAUAUUAUGAAUGUUUGUGUCGAUAUUAAUGAUAAUUUUUUUAAAAAAAAUAUAUGUAAUAGUUGAGUCGUUCUUAUAAAUAUAUUUAUUUAUAUAUUUUUAUAAUUACAAUUCAGUACAAAAAUUAAAUCAAUACAUAAUAAGUCUCUUUAUUAUAUAAACGUUUUGGUCCAGAUUUAACUAACGUUCAAGUACUUACAAAACGGUAUUUUUUUUUCCCGGAAGUUUACAAGGGAGAGAAUUACAAUGUGAAAAGGUAAGAGUAAUAUAGAAAAGUAAAUAAUUUACUCAUAAAAAAUUGUAAACGACAAAUAAAUUAAAAUAAUUUUUAUCUUCUAAAACGACAAUCUUUCAGAAACGGAGAGAGUAAAUGAUAGUAUUAAAUGACUUUCUUAAUCCAUGUACAAAAAUCUUAAACGACAAUAUUUUAAGAACAGAGAUUCAAAAUCUUAAACGACAAUCUUAAUCCAUGUACAAAAAUAUUUUGUUCCUACACCUAGACCAUAAAAAUGAGUAGUAAUAUAUUUAGUCAUUUAAAAAAUAAAUUAAAUUUCUUACACCGUCAAUUAUCAAUGUAUACAUCCCCCCGUUGUGAUCUGGACUCCAACAAUUUAUUGAAGAAAUAAAACAAGAGAUUGGCCGGCCGGCCACAAAGAAACAGAGAAACCAAUAACAAUAAUCCCGUUGUCAAAUGGCUUUGUCAGGCUCAUUAUGGUUAUAAUUGCCCCAGAGCAACGAUCCUCAUGAGCUGUCUAUAAUUUUAAUUGCCCGGUACACAUUAAGGUACAAGCACAAGGUGUAACCACGUGCUGAGGAGAUUUCUGUUCUAUCAAUUCAUUAUCUUUCAUACAACUGCAUUUAACAGAGCUUCAUUUAAGCUAAUUAAACAUCUAAUAAUAUACACGUGUAUGAAGAUACUAUUGUAUCAUCAUAAAGAUCUUGUCCUUGUAAUGAGGGCUUUCACAUAAUAUCUAAACAAACCUCAAAAAGAACUCCUUGGAGAAAGAGGAUUACUCCAAUAGAAAGUCCAUGCGGACAUUUUCAAAGGAUAAUUGACAAAUUACAUACAGGGUUUUACAUUUUAAGAUACAACAGAUCAUAUUCCAACAGAUCUUCCAAUGUACACAAAUAACUCAUCUCUAAGAAACCUAUCAUCUCAAGAAGUCACAUGGUGUAAAGGAAAAAGAAAAAAGAAAAAAGAGUUAUACAAACUACCACCUCCACGUACCUUUACUCCGUUGGAGUUGGACUUGAUCUUGAAUCACGAUCCCAACAAGUGGCUGUUGAUGACUUUGAAGAUAAUAUGAUGAUGAUAUCUUAAACUCCGACCCAUUUGACCCAUCUGAAAGCCUUCCCAACUCUGAAAGGUAACUCGUAAUCUUUAGCAACAGCAGGCUCCCUACGUGCAGCAUCGGGUUCAGACCACACGUAAACUCCUCGUUCUUGCCGACUGCCUGGUACAGUGUUGUCCAGGACUACCGCUACUAGAAAUGCAAUCACCAUGUGAAGUGAGAGCAAUGUGUUCAUGACAUAGUUUAGCUGCAAAAGAACAAAAAUGAUAGUUCAACUGUCAAUUCUAAAAUUUUAGGCUGUACACAGGCCGAAUCAAGUCAAGUUUUUGCUUGCCGAGCUUGAGCUCGUCUAUUUGUUAAACGAACCAACUCGAGUUUCAGGACUUGGUGGGACUAAUAUAUGACCUGCUUGCAAGCUCAAGUUGAGUCUCAAGUCGGUCCUGAGUCGGGUUUAAACGAGUCGGUCUCGAGUCAGACAAGCCAUAACUCGAGCUCGACUAGCUAAGCAGACUUGAAUUGAGUGAAGCCAGGCUCAUGAAAAGCCCAGUUCAGUUACAUCCCUAAUAAAUAAGCUUUUUAUGUUUCACCAAAAACAAUAAGACAAAAACAAACCCCUCCAAAUUUGGUGCGGAAAGGACCAUGAGAAGCCACAGAGUAUGGUUGAAAGUAACUUGGAACAGACAAGUUGCUAUUUGGAGAGAGACCGUAUUGCUGAAAGUAAGCUGGUACUGAGAGGGAGAAAAACAAAGAUAAUCCGACUAUGAUAAUGUUCCUGGAGCUUCCAGCCUCGCUGUAACGUAGAUUUGACAAGCCCAAUGCUGCAAGCAUUGCCCACAUAAAGCACAGUAAAGCUGCAACCAUGACUUCAGGAAUUAAAGCAAUAAAUCCUCCAACUUUACCUACAAGCAUGUCAGAAAUUGGACUUAAUACAGUUCAAGAAUAACAACUUGAGCAUUGUGCACAAGACAAGGAGCCUCUGGUCCUCAUUUCAUAGACAUCAUGUUGUAUUACAAUGAUUUUCGUACAGAUUGACAAAUUCCUUUAUUAAAGAGAAGCAACAGUGACCUAUUAGACAAUGAAUAAGGAUCAUGCGAACAGUUCUAUGCACCAUCCACUGCUUUACCAAUGUAGGUGCAUUACACUGAUUGUCAAUAACUAUCCUAUGUAAACUGUUUUCAGAAAAUUUUAAUUAUUGCAGAGUAGUUGUCACUCUCCUGCUAGACUCAAUAGUGCUUUUACGAGUUGAGAUAACACAAUUCUUCAAUACGAAAGUUAUUUCUAAUUUCUACAUAAUUGAUGCAAAAUGUACGAGAUACAAGCAUAGUUGUUAAGGCAUCGCCAAGUCGUCCAGGAGAUCGGAGAUGCGUAAGGCGAGUGCGCGACUUGGCUUUUGGCCGGAAGGUGAGCGACUGGAAAACAAAGGCGUCACCUUGGACAACCAGGCGACGACUUGGACGACUACCCAGAUGGUCGGACGACUUGGUCUCAUGGGUUGAAUUGGCUUUUAAAAAACGACAUCGUAUAGGAAAGCCAAACCAGUGAAGGACUGAAAGCCAAACCUAACUCGCUCGACAGUCGAUCAUCCAACUUCGAAGUCAGUCGCAACUGAAAGAGAGAGAGAGAGAAGUGAAGUCGACUAGACCAACGAUCGGCAGCGAGGCUUCAAUUACAAACGGCGACUACAAGUAUGUCUUCUUCAUUUUUUUCUUCCCUUUUUCUUCUUAUUGCUCGACUUGGAUGUUACGUAUAGAAUGAUUUUUUCUUUUUGUUUCUCUAUAUGUGGACAAGAUUGAUGGCACUCUGAUAAUAUAGUAACAGGUCACAUGUGUUUUUUCGUUAGCUUCUUUCUUUUGUUGGGUCUAUAUAUAUAUAUAUAUGGAAAUGAUCCAUAGCAUCUAUUUGCUAUGGAUCAAAAAGUGACAUAUAACAUUUUAACCAUCCAUUAGAAACAUGAAGGCCUGGGAUUUAAUAUUAACAUACGUCGUCCGCUAGAAAUACUAGCGGACUGGGUUAAUGAAAUUCUCAAACAAAAAUGCCCCCAAAUCCGUUAUUACUUCUAACGGAUGCGCAUCCAUUGAAAAACGAAUUGGGAAAAAACACAGCCCAGUUGUGAAACACAACAGAACCAAAGUUUCGCUUUCUAUUGUGCGAUUUCUGCUCUUCUCAUCAUCUCUACUCGCAAUUUACUUUAGAUCGGCAACAAGUUGUCAUAUAAUCGGUAAGUUUGUUAUUUAAUCUCCCAUAUCUACCAUUACAGCAAUUUUCCCCAAAUUCUCAUGAACCCUAGUUUGCAAUUUAGUGCAGAUCGGUAACAUAUAGCAUCUACAGAAUUUAAUCAAUUGCUCUGUAAAUUGGCUGCAAAUUGUGGAAAUUGUUCGUUGUUCGUCCAAAAUUUUGCGACUACAGCAAACUAAUCAGCAUUUAAUCGGUAAGUAAUCUUUCAAAUAUGAAUCUGUUGUGAUUUUCCAUGAAUUAAAACCCUAGUUCGCAAUCUAUUUCCCAUUCUAUAUUCCAUGAAUUCUCAAGUUCCCCCAUUUUGUGUUCGCAAUCGGUAGUUUCUGUUGAUGGAGGAAAACUUUAAUCUUUUCGCUGCUAUGUCUGUUUUAGAGGUAUUGAUGCCUUCUUAAGUUGAAGUAGAUCCUUUUUAUGGUAGAUAUGUUGUCAUUCAGCUUAAUAAUAUUGUGCUGUUUUUAAUAAUGUUGUUUGUUUUAUUUGGAAUUGUAUGUAUUUGAUUUGGAAGAAUUUGGAAUUUUAUGUAUUUGAUUUGAUCUCCUUUGGAAUUUGAUAUAUCUUGUUUUGAUUUGGAUUUCUAAUAUGAUUUGGAAAGAUUUGGAAAUUUUGAUGUACUGGGGCUAUGAUAUUGCUUAAUUGCUGUACAGGAACCAGUUGUUGCUGUACUAGGGCUGUGAUUUUGAAUAUGUUGUAUUUUAAUUGAAUUCGUGUUGUUAAUUGUUGCUAUACUGGGCCUGUUCAAGUCAAUUCGUGUUGUAAUAGGAAGUUUAAUAGGAAGUGUUGUAUUUUACUUGAAAUCAACUUGUUGUAAGAUUAAUAUUUUAUCCGUCCGCUAGUAAGACUAGCGGAUGUUGUUAUCUUGAAUUGGUCAUGUUGAUCUGUCUUGGCUAAGUGGGGGCAAAAGCGGAAAAAUAAUUCAUUAACC